rnacentral:rRNA from 1 species
UGGGGAAUAUUGGGCAAUGGGCGCAAGCCUGACCCAGCCAUGCCGCGUGAGUGAUGAAGGCCUUCGGGUCGUAAAGCUCUGUGGGGAGGGAAGAACAAGCACGUGGCUAACAUCCACGGGCCCUGACGGUACCUCCUUAGCAAGCACCGGCUAACUCCGUGCCAGCAGCCGCGGUAAUACGGAGGGUGCAAACGUUGCUCGGAAUUAUUGGGCGUAAAGCGCAUGUAGGCGGCCGAAUAAGUCGGGUGUGAAAGCCCAGGGCUUAACCCUGGAAGUGCACUCGAAACUGCUCGGCUUGAAUAUGGAAGAGGGUCGCGGAAUUCCCGGUGUAGAGGUGAAAUUCGUAGAUAUCGGGAGGAACACCAGUGGCGAAGGCGGCGACCUGGGCCAAUAUUGACGCUGAGAUGCGAAAGCGUGGGGAGCAAACA